UUCAUUUACUAGAAUAGAUUCUAAAGUGUCCAUCUCAAUCAUGUAUCCACAUGCAUAGAUCUUAAAGAGCUUUAUCUUUUAUCAUCCAUCUGCUUGCAUAGCUCGCGAAGCACUCUCUUUGUGAUCUAUUUGCUUGCAUACAUCUCAAAGUGCCACAUUCGAGGAAAUCCAUUCAUCUACAUAGAUUUUAAAGCACUUAAUUCUCUAUCAUCCAUUCGCCAUACAUAUUUUAAAGCACUCCAUUCUUUAUUAUUCAUCCAAAGCACUCUAUUUUUUAUUAUUCAUCCAUUU
rnacentral:lncRNA from 1 species